rnacentral:lncRNA from 1 species
AACUGGUUUGGCCAAUAUGAUUCUUCAAUACCCAUUGCAUUCCAAAUAUAAAAGGGGAACGUUAAUGAAAAACAAAAACUUGAAAUCUAUAAGCAGCUCUCGCCUCAUAUGCAAGCAAGGACGAUAGUUUGAGCGAGCAAAAUGAAAAAAGCAAAAUCCUGCUACUAUAAAGGUUGUGUUACUUAUAAAAAUAGAAAAAACGACUACUAGUAUCUUAUAACUUAGAAAUAGCUGAAACACCUCUUAUACCUCAGAAAAAUGCAGGGCGGGCACGAAGGGAGUAACAGAUUCAACCAAACUAUCCAAAUUAGUAACAUUUACUGGCGGCGGCCGUGGCGGCGAAGCAGCAGAGCAAAAGGAGGGCGUUUUCAACAAUGUCGUCGUCGAAUCGUCCGAGUCCGUCCGGUUCCCAGCCGCCUCAGCAGCAGGCGCCUCAGCUUUAUUAGCUGCUCUCUGCAACUGCUGCUGCUGUCGUUGUUGUUGCUGUUUCUGUAACUGCUGCUGCUGUUGCUGUUGUAAUAGCAUCUGCUGGUGCCGGCGCAUAGCAGGAGGAUUGUAAAAUCGGUCACCGCCAUGACUCCGCGACACCGCGAAGCUUCCAGAACCAGCCAUUAUUACUCCCAAAUUUGUGUGUGUAGUUAAUUAAGCUGCUUAACGAGUCUAAAAUGGUGAAAUUAAGUUGGCGAAAAUUGAUAGAUUUGAAAAUGGGAUUGCAUUGAAGUGUGGAAAUAUCAAAAUCUGCGGGUUUACUUGAUUCGAGUCUAAAAUGGUGAAAUUAAGUUAGCGAAAAUUGAUAGAUUUGUGAAAUGGGAUUGAAUUGAAGUGUGGAAAUAUCAAAAUCUGCGGGUUUACUUGAUUAGGGUUUUGGAGGUUUUU